rnacentral:lncRNA from 1 species
GGGUCUAGCAUGGUGCAAUGCUAUUCAGGAUGCAAAAGUAGCAGAGGACCUCUGAGGAGGUUACAUGCGGCUUGGGAGAUGAGUGAUAAAUACAUGAAACAGCUGGGGAAAAAUACUAGACUGGAUAAAAUCAAGUGUGAGAGGAUUUGGUUCAGAUUUCAAGCACUACAGGAAUUCAGAAGCAAGGAAGAUCACACAAGGAGAGAAAUCAAAGAACAGUCACUGUGAAAGGGAUUGCAAGAAGCCGCUCUUCCUGUCUCAGGUGUCAGCAGUCAACUCUGUGGCUAUCAUCACCCUGGGAAAGACUGAAAUCAAGAUUCUGUGAUAUUCCACACCUGUCCCAGACAAUUCCAGCACAUCCCACCCUGAGAACAGCCAGAGGAGGAGAUCAGCCACGGAUUCUUGGAGCUUAUCCUACUUCUGGUUGUGAUGGAGUAGCUCACAGCAGACCAAGUCUCCUGUUGAAAACAUCUAGAAAACAUGAACCACAAAAUACACAUUUUUAUAAGACAUCAAAGAGCAGCCAAAAUAUUCAGGACUUGAAGGGUCAAGAUCCCAGAAGAAGAAAAACUCAUUAAGAGAGGAUUUACAUCUGCUUCUGAUAGCUGUCUGGUCUGGAGGAACUACCACCUUAAACCAAGUUCAAGGCUUAAGGGUCCUUGAUCCACCCCGGAGUGUGAAAUCCACGCACUUAUUUGCAGGACGGCUGCUUCCCUUCUGGCUCUGUUUUACCCCAGGAAUUAUUCUUUGGAGGUUCAAGUUUAUUGUAAGGGUGAUUUCUUAGUAGCCUUUGUAUCUUGUAUGGGCCUUUUGAUGUCUGUCUCGAUCACCCCAUGAAGUCACCAAAAUGAAAGCUCAGUUUUGCGAGGAUCAGCAAAUAUUGUCAGGGCAGAAGUUGCUUCUGUGCUUACUUAAUAUUGUUUUCCAUUUAGGUCUGGUAAUUCCUUUCUACCUUGUUAGCUCUUGCAUGCUUUUGAGUAGAU